GGGGUGACACCAUGACAGAGAGAGGGGGUGACUGGUGACAGAGUGAGGGAGGGGAUGACUAGUGACAGAGGGAGGGAUAGCGUGACUAGUGACAGUCACCAUCUCCCUCCCUCUCACUAGUCACCCCCUCCCUAAUUCUGUCACUAGUCACCCCGUCACUAGUCACCCCUCCCUCACUCUGUCACUAGUCACCCAUUCCCUCCCUCACUCUGUCACUAAUCACCCCCUCACUCUGUCACUAAUCACCCCCUCACUCUGUCACUAGUCAUCCCC